UAUUCUUCACGCACAGUGCUUCCAUGCAUUCUUGUUACCACAACAUUUGCAGACUUCAAUCACUUCAUUGUCAACACAACAUUUACAGAAUCUAUUAUGUGUACCAUCGUAACGACCAACAUUAUAAUCUGAUUCUAUAGAGCUAUCUGCUGAAUAAUAAUCUUCUUCUUUAAGGCUAUCUUCUUCUGUAUCACUAUCUUCUUCGGCACAGCUACCCUUAUCUUCCUUUUGCUACAGCACCAAAGCUGAGCCAUCAUUGGAUCCAUCAUCUACCAUUGAGGCCCCCUUGUCCCAGCGCGCCUUGUUCUGUUCCCAGUAGCGUGCUCGUCGAAUUCUUCCUUUCGGCGCUUCGUCUGUUGUUCACCCUCCACGCUCGGCCGGACGGUCCAAAGUAGGAUUCUGGUUCUCGUCGUCGGUCAGUUGUGUUUAGGUUAGCUAGCCGUGUGCCUUUUUUUCUUUCAGAGAUUCAUAACAAACUAACGAAGUUGCUGUAUGGAAAUGGAGUGACAUAUUAUGGCCCAUUUGGGCUUUGCCCUCGGACUUUGGAUUCCUUUCUUAGUUAGGCCCUGUCAACAUUUGGGCAUAGCUGUAUUUGGGUACAUGUAUGCAAUUAUUUCAGGAAAAAGAUAUAGUUAGAAGUUCGUCACAAUAUGUACACAUAUUGGCACUAUUUGUCUUUGUUAUAUAUAUAUAUAUAUAUAUACAGCCCCCUUCUAUUGAGGGAUCCCUAUUUUUGGCCACUUUCUAGGGAUAGGGCAUUACACCACUUCCCAAUUGAAUUUUUACAUCUCCACCGUUCAUAUCUUAGGUCUAUAUGAGUAGAUCACCUCUACAAAAUUUCAUAUGAUUUGGUGAUCGUUAAGACUUUCAAAAGUUUGAUUUAGUUUUAAUGAUUUUGAACGGUCCAGCUUAUGUCAAACUAAAACCGUUGAAGGUCAUUAAAACUAAAUUGAACUUUUGAAAGCCUUAACGAUNNNNNNNNNNNNNNNNNNNNUAUAUAUAUAUAUAUAUAUAUAUAUAUAUAUAUAUAUAUAUAUAUAUAUUUUGCCCUCAUCCUCAAUAAUCCAUUGAGCAUACAAUGAGUGUGUGUGUGUGACUGCUCCAUCAGCAAAACCAUAAUAUUGUUCAAUGGGGAAGCCAAGGAAUACCUAUUCUCAAUGGGGAAAGCGACAAGGGUGGACAAUAACAUUGUUCAUAAAAUGAGCUGAGUUUCGAAAGAGAGACUAGUUGGUCUUUUACCGUAGAAGAAGAGCAAACGGACAAAAAAAAAAUAGAGAUACCGACCAAAAAAAUAAAGGAAAGAGUGAUAGAAAUUUUCGACCGUUGAAAAAAUAUGCAGCUGUGCUGCUCAUAUAUUUCCCCGUAAGCCAACAGGGUCCCAAAUGCCGACGUACAUUCAGGGUCGAGUUUUCUGAAAUUGGCUCAUUUUCGUAGAACUGAAUCCCCUGUACACGUCUAUUCAUCUCUCAAGCUCUGGUUUUUUUCUGGUCGUUGCUGUGCUGCCUGUGCAGGGAUCCCACGGUUAAUUUCUAAGAAGAUUAUGAGAAACUGCGUGCAUGGUCGAUCGAGGUGUGAGAGAAGAUUAAACGACCAGAAUUUGUUGCUGAUCCAUUGAGUUUGAUAAUUUAUUCUCUAAUUUGUUAAUGUAUAUCUCUUCUGAUCUACGUACCUAUAUAUCCCAAAUUUCUGUUCAUCUUCUUCGAUGGUCUUCAAAGUCAAAUAACAUUUGAUUACAGAGCCAUUUCAGAUUUUAGAUUAAACUCGUAAUAUGAAAGCACAUACAACUGAUACAAGAAAGAAACCUCCGUGAAGUUAGACUAUAAUCAGCCAAAAGUUUCUUUUCGUUUUCCAGAAAGAUUUAGGAGGAGCAAUCCCAGAAGCAAUCACGUAUCAUUCAAAGUAAACCACAAAACUCGUUGGUAGGAAAGGUUGGUUCAAUUCCAUAAUAAACUCUUCAUAGAACGAAACUAAUUGGCAAUAGUGUUGCUUUGACAUUAGGGUUACAUGUUUCAAUACCCCAAUUCUCAACAAUAAGUUCUUGUAAACUACACAAAUGAAGUUGCUAUCGUAGUUCAUAUUUACUUAGAUUUAUUUUUUCUUGCUGAGAGAUAUAUAUGAUUUCAGAAAUUACUGAAGUAAUUAUUUUUGAAUUAAUGUUCACUUAUCAAUUAAGUUGAUCCGUUCAUGGUAAGGUUCUCCCUAAUCUCCCUUCAAUUUCCCAGCCCCAAAAUUAUACAAGCAACUCACACCCUCAACCUGUAUAUAUAGAUAUAGGCAUGUGUGACCUGGGUAUAAACCACAAGUUAUAAGAUAUUCUUCACGUAUACAGAAAAUAAAUCACAAAGCAAUUCAUCAUGUCUCAGCCAAAUGCUCAAGCCUGUCUAGCCAAAGGUGGAUCAAAUUCAAAUCCACCAGUUAGUCGGCCUCCGGCGACUCAGCCAAAUGCUCAAGCCUGUCUAGCCAAAAACAGAGGGAGAUAAUUAAGCGCAUACAAAGUGCUGUGCGCAACAGAACUUUAAGCUACUUGUUUGUGUUUCUGUGUCAUAUGUUGCUCAUACAUAUAUAGUAAAUAAGGGGUUCAUUUCAUACCAUCUUUCCUCUGGUAUUCUCUUCGUUCCAAAUAAUUUACCAUUUCUAUCUCAGUCUCCAUUCGGCCAUCGAUCUCCGAAAGAAAUUACCAAAAGGUGAAGGUAGUUAGCAAAUGGGCCACAUAUAUAGUAGAAUUAUUAUACAAUUGUUUCUAUUCAUUGUAGAAAUUGAUGUACUCUAUUGAAUUUAAUUUUUGUUUCAGUUGUACUAUGGUAUAAGAAUAAUACUUGUAAUAUAUUAUUAGAUUUUGUUUAUAUAUGACAGAUUAAUCUUCAGUUUUGGAUUUUUAAAUUGUGCCCUUGUUCUUCAAUUUUCUAACUAACAAUUAAAACGUUGAUAUGCACUAUUGCAUGAUUUGGAUCUCCCUAGAUAAACCAUGAACCAUAACAGCUAUAUCUUCCAAGCUAAUUAAUUACAGGCCGACUUAAAAGAUCACCGGCCAAUUAAGCAUUACAAUAGCUACCUGAAGAACCAGUACAAGAAAAUAGAGAAUAUAUGCUCAGUUGGCUAAAAUGGAAGAUAUAGUUAGUUUGAACCUUUGUAUGAUUAAGAACAUUUCCAAUUUAUCCAUCAAUUUUUUGUUCUUAUUACUAACUAAAUACUCUUUGGGUUCGUUUUGACAUGCAUGGAUACGAUCUCGGGUUGUACUUUUGGUAAUGAAUUUUGAUGCACAACCUUUCUUGCAAUUAGAUAGAUUCAAAAGGGAUGAACCUGGUGAUAUUGAUUCUUGUUCAUCGAUCAUAUAUCACCAACAUGAUGAACUUUAAGUGGAUGGAGGUGUAUCUUUGAUAACGGUAAGAUAGUCCACAGUUUACUCUGUAGUACUAAUAUUAUGCAUACAUGCAACAAACCCUAAACAAGGCCGUUCGGAGACUUUCCUCAUUGGGUUGAGUUGAAAGACACUCCAAUGUGGGAGCAUGAUAAAGAAACUGAAGACUAUUUCUGACGUACGGUAUAACGAUCCACCACAUCGGGUAGUUUAUGAUGGCCGGGCUAGCUUGCGUAAACAGCACUUAACCACCGUCUCUGAAAUAUUUCCCGGAAACACGUUUAACAGAAAACUACCGAACACCCUCAGAAAUCAUCAAAGAAACGACGCAUGAUAGGAGUUCGAUCUUGGUCUCAAGAGUUGAUGACUAAAAAAUAAAAUGAAAAGAAAACAAUGAAUUAAUUCGGACACGAAAUCCAGCCAGAUCGAGAUAUAAAACAAAGCAAUAGCUACGUUUAUCAUCAGUAGGUGGCAAAUGAAAAAUGGGUCUCAGAAUUAAUCGUCAAACUUUGCGGUUUAAUUAACGCGGUUUAGAAUUUAACCGAUCGAGUGAAGUUAUCCAAGUUCCAGUAGUGAACUGCAUAGCAAUUCCUUCCGGCCAGAGAUACACCAGUAGGUGGCAAUCAAAACUGAGCUUCAGACGUGUCAAACCUUGCGAUUUAAAUGUGGUCACUAAUCGAUCCGCUUGAAGUCAAGUUUAUACGAAACUUCCACUAAACCUCUUAGCAAUUGCUUCCAGAACUACAAUAGAUGUAGAUUAUCCAGAGUCGGAUUUGUUUCUGGGUUUGUAAAUGGUCAAGUAGCUAGAUAGAACUCACUGUAUUCUCAUUGGCCGGUCGCUCAUUAUCAUCUGUAAGUCAUUUGAGAUGUCAUUAGUUUAGGAUGAAGCAUUCAUUUCAAGGUGCUAAUGCCGGUGAUAUAAAUCAAGUAGGCUUAAGAACCAGCCGCAAGAAAGGGUCAACCUGUAAAAAAUGAUACCAAUGUGGUAUCAAUUUCUUUAGUCAGUGAAGGUGCACCACCCCCGUUUAAUUUUUCCUAUUGUUAAAACAUACCCAAAGAGAAUCGUAGCAGUUGCUCGGCUAUUGUUUAGAUGGUUAUUAAUAAAUUCGAUUCAGACCAAUUACUGAUGUAAUACUUUUCUUUGCAGGAUGCAAAUCAAGUUUUGGAACAUAAAGGUAGGAUUCACUGACGUUGGUAAUAAGCUAUCCCAAUUUCAUGUGUGGUAGACAUAGAUGGUUAUAGUCUUCAUUGAAAAAUUGUUUGCUUCAAUAUACAAAUGCAAAAGACUAAAUGCUUCUUGAUUCCAUCAAAAUGGUUCUGGAUGUAGCAUUAAAAGGCUACAACCAUAGGACUAAACACAAUUGGUCUUUUGAUUGAUAAUGUUAGGUUUUCAAAUGUAUUGGUGUUUGUUAUUUUAUGCUUUCUUGUUUUUCAAAAACAGAAAGCAAGAGUGUUGACUAAUCCAUUAAGGAAGGUGAACUUGUUUAUGAUGGUGAAUACAUUUGAAAUGGUAUUUAAAAUACAGUAAUUCAUGUUAUCCCUAAUAUGAUUGAGAAGGUGUUACCCAAACCUUGAUACUCUAUAAGGCUGACAAUACAGCUAAUAAGGCCCAGCUUCUUCAAUACCUUCAAACCUCCAAAUCGCAAUCACCGUCGCCACACCUCAACUACAAUCCGGUCAAUGAAAGUCGCCACACGAUCGAAGGGAGACCUAAAUCAGCCUCAAAUUGAAGCUUAGGAGUCGCCAACUGAAGAUCCGAUUUGGAAGUCCUCGCCGUCUCACACUCUAGUCUCUCUUUUCUCCGUUCAAACUAUCUUUGUUUUUUUUGUUGUAAUUUCAAUUUUGUGGCCUCUCCCUUCGUGUAUCAAUGUGUAUGAACUAUGAAGAACAUCAAUGGAAGAAUGAAAAUGGAUUCAAUCUGUAUCCUAUCACCAAGUAACCCAGCAUGAUACAUGAUCGAGAAAGGUCAAGACCAAACCGGCAACUCUACCUUUUAAGUCGUACUUGCCCUACCUUUUCUUUCAUCUUUCUCUUGAUCGCUACUGAUCGAGAUCUUUCAUGACUUCAUGCCUCGUUAACAAACUGUGUAUAACCGAUUAACAUGAGACUCGCUCUCUACGAUGAUAGUUAUAUACGUCAAAAAUUAUUAUUACAUAUAUAUAAUAAUAUAUAUGUAAAAAAUUAAGAAAUUAAAAUACAUAAGAAAAAUUAUAAAGAAUACAAUAUAUAUUAUUGAAUUGGAAAGUCCAAAAUGAAUAAAUUCAUUACUUAUUUUAGUAUUAUUAUUGUCUUUAAUAGUCAUUAUGUAAGAGAAGUUAUCCGUCAUUCAAUAACUCACAAUAAAGUGAGAUCAAGUAAGUAAAUUUAGAAGUCUCAAUGAUCGCACUUUUAAAAAUUUAAUCAUAGCAAUUAUUAGAAGACUUUGACCUCUCAUAUAACGAUUCUUCCUAUAAACAUAAAGCUAUGCUUCUAUUUUGAGAUGAUGACCUAUAACUAUAUUAAAGAACACUGAAAUGAAAUUUUGUCCCGUUUAAGAGAAAAUCCAAGCCGACGUGAGGUUUGUCUAAUCUACCAUCUCCUCAUGUGCAUGAAUAUAUACCUAUGUGAUGAAAUAAUGUCAAUUAGUGAGAAGAGUUGGCUCACAUAAAGAACAAUAACAACAACAACCAAACUCCUAAGUUCCAAAUCCUAUUAAACAAGCUAGUGGUUCUCUUAACAUAUAAUAUCUUGCUAUCUUAAUCCUCUUGUUAAUUUGAAAUGGAUAAUUAGGUAAGGUUGAGCAGCCUAAUUCUAUUAUGGCCUAAUUUGCACUCUAAGUAGAUAUUUUCAACGGCCAAAACCUACCGGAUCGAUAUUAUGGCCUUCAAUGGUUUUGUUUUCUUCCUUCAGUUCCUUAUUGUUCUAGUGAAUUCUACUUCAAAACUUAGUACGUAACAGUUCCUUAUUAUUGUUCUAAUGAAUUCUACUUCAAAACUUAAUACGUACCAUUUGAUUUAGUGACAUAUUUGUUAGUGGACGUUCCGUAAAUGAGACUUAACAACUAUAUGAACCAUAUAGAGUUGCUCUCAGACACAACCCGAUCAAUUUCUCUUAGUUGCUAACUUGCUAUAUAUGGCUAGCUUAGAAGGUUCAAUCAUAUUUUCAGCACAACAAUACCUACAUAACUGCUUCAGUAAACUAAUUUCAAAGCAAAUAAACUGUUUUUCAUUAAAGCACAACAAAAUCAAACCAUAUAUACGUGGAUCUCCAUCUUAUCGAUCAGUCGAUCGGCUGCUGGCUAGCUCUCACCACUGGUAUCACACGUAUCGCAAUAUUCUUAUGGAAAAUAACGUUUUAUUCUUCACGCACAGUGCUGCAUGCCAUGCAUUCUUGUUACCACAACAUUUACAAACUUCAAUCACUUCAUCGUCAACACGACAUUUACAUAAUCCAUAAUAAUGUGUACCAUCAUAAUGAACAACAUUAUAAUCUGAUUCUAUAGAGCUAUUUACAUAAUCCAUAAUAAUGUGUACUAUCAUAAUGAACAACAUUAUAAUCUGAUUCUAUAGAGCUAUCUGCUGAAUCAUGAUCUUCUUCUUUAGGGCUAUCUUCUUCUGUAUCACUAUCUUCUUCGGCACCGCUACCCUUGUCUUCCUUAAUUUUGCUGCAGCACCAAAGCGGAGCCAUCAUUGGAUCCAUCAUCUACCACUGAGGCCUCCUUGUCCCGCCAUGUACUGUUCCCCGUAGUGUGCUCGUCGAAUUCUUCCUUUCGGCGCGCGCUUCGUCUGUUGGGCUCGAUUAGGGUUGUUGCUCUCGUCGUCCUCAGCAUGUUCUUCACCUCCACGCUUCACCGGACGGUCCGAAGUAGGGUUCUGGCUCUCUUCGUCGGUCAUGGUUUUGCGUCUGAGAGAGAGGGAGUCGAUCAGUAUAGUUAGAAGUUCGUCACAAUAUGUACACAUAUUGGCACUGUUUGUCUUUGUUAUAUAUAUCUUCUUGUUUUCUUUCAGAUAUGUCUGAACAUUGUUAUCGUUUCUUGGUCAUUCAUACUGCACCAUUGUUUCUCUUGGAUCUAGAAAACGCAUCAUCCCUUUGGAAUAUCCUAACUACAAGAGAGACUGUCAUAAUUUGAUUAGCAGAAGUUGUGACCCUUCUUGUCACCUUCUUUAGGAAAACAUACACCUGUGUAUAUCAUAUGUGAUAGAUUGGAUAUGGGAUAAAGGCAGCGAAACUUGAGCUCAAAGCAUGCCAUAGUCUUUCAUUUUUAGACGUCAAGAACAUAAUGAUAAAUAUGUUGGUCAAGAAUAAAACAAUAACUUUUCAAAAACCAAAAAAUUGAUAUGAACAAGUGAAUAAGCUACUUGUCUGGUAAAGUUGAUCUGGCAACCUAAUUAGGAGCGUUUAAGUCGUGACUCUCAUCAUUUUGUGAGUAGCAAAUUUGAGAGGAGCUAUUGGCUCCCUUACAAAUGACGGGCGAU
rnacentral:lncRNA from 1 species